AGGAUCAUCAUUGCCAAGCGAUAACUUGGGCAGGAAGAGGGAAAAGGUAUCACACGUAGGUGCCUGGGGAUCUUGAUAUAAGAGUUUAGAUCCCGAUUUCUCAGGCUGUAAGCUCUUGUCUGCCUUUGUUCUGUAGGAGUGGAGAGAGAGCCUGCUUCAGAUGGAUUGGAGUGUGUCCAUCUCUAGCACAACAGGCUUACUGAAUGUCUGAGGAAGAGGUCAAGGUGGAGCUGAAGGCAGGGGGGGGAAACCUGUGAAGACCUUCUGCUAAGAAGGAGGAUAAAUGCAAAAUGAUCUUUGGUGCCUGUUGGUAUCUGGCCCUUCCUCUCUAAUUCUAGUCUUUUUAAUUCCUACCCAGGUGUUAGGUGAUCAUGUCUGAAGCAGUGACUUCUGGGGAUUAUUUAUCUUUCACUUUGGAUGUCUGAUCAGAAUAAAGCACCAUCUUAAAGCCAAGAAGUGAUAAUGAUGGAAAAUGGGCCAUGGCAUGAUGGAGGCAGCAACCCUUCCACCUGUUUGUAAAACACUGAAAAAAUUGCCUCAGAUAAGGAAGUGUCCUCCAGUGAGAAAGGAAUUAUUUCCCACCGACCACAUGAUAAAUGUACAGCUGGGAAAACUCCUGUCAGUGGAUGCAGUGUCCUUUCCAGAUUCAAUAUUAUGCAAACUGCAUAUUGGCAAAUGGAGUAAACAAAUAUGUCCAUGAAGUUUCUGGAUGCACAGAGAGAGGGGCUUUACCAAUACACAGGCAUAGACCUGCUGAUCUGCAUGGGAAUGACUGAGCGCCCUUGGCCAGCCCCAUGGCCAUCUCCACUGCCAUCUCUCUCCUCUGCAACGUGUCUGAGCACCUGAGAUAAUGGGCCAUUCUGCUGCCCAGCAGCAGAGGACAAGAGGUGGCACACAGAUCUAGGGGCGGCUGUAGGUUAAAUUGGAGCUCUCAAUGGCUAGGUCUGGGGGUUCCUUUCAGGGAAUGAGAGUGAAGUUGCCCCAGCCAGUCCUGCACCUGCUCUAGGCCUGGCCUUCUCCCCUUCAGCCCCACCCACAACUAUCAGGCUCCUCAAUCACAGGCAAGGCUGUGGGCAUGUGUGCUUUUCAGCUCUGUCUUCCCUGCCUGUCAGGUAUGGACAGGAGGCAUUACCCAUACUGAGUCUUCCUGGUAGACAGAGUUUGGCCCAGUCCCCUUCUCAUCACAGACUUCAAUUUCCAGGCAUAGGGAGAGUGAAAGUGUGUGUGUGAUGGACCAAGGCUGGCUUUAGCCCUGCAGUUCUGCAAAGUGUAGGACCCUUCUGCACUGUGUUGAUCCUAUUGCAAUAACGCUGGGAGAUUAAGUACUUUAACAAUUUUCACUUCUAAGCAGAUGAGAAAACAGAUUUAAAAGGAUAGGAGUGGUGUUUUUGAAAGGUGGGCAGCAAAUGAUUGGCAAAGCUAGCGUUUAGACCUGGGGCUGUCUUUUAACAAAAAUCUCAUACUUACUGUUUUUCAAAAUGGUACCAUGUUUCCCCAAACACCCCUGCAUUCAGAAAACCAACCAAUCAACCAACCAACCAACCAACCAACCAACCAACCAACCAAAAAGGGACAAGGACAUCUAAAAGAUCCA
rnacentral:lncRNA from 1 species